GCUCAGCAAGUCCUCCGUUAAAUCCAGCGAUUCAAUCGUUGGACUGCGGGGGAUACUGUUGGGCUAGGGACGAGAGAGGCCGACGGUAUUCUCGGAGUAGGGUGAAAUCCUAUAAUUCCGGGAGGACCACCAGUGGCGAAGCUGUCGGCUAAACGAGCUCGACGGUGAGGGACGAAAGCUGGGGGAGCGAACCGGAUUAGAUACCCGGGUAGUCCCAGCUGUAAACGAUGCGGGCUAGGUGUUAGGGUGGCUACGUGCCACUCUAGUGCCGCAGCGAAGGCAUUAAGCCCGCCGCCUGGGGAGUACGGCCGCACAAGGCUGAAACUUAAAGGAAUUGGCGGGGGAGCACCACAAGGCGUGAAGCGUGCGGUUUAAUUGGAGUCAACACCGGGAACCUUACCGGGGGCGACAGCAGGUUGAAGGCCAGAUUGACGAUCUUGCCAGACAAGCUGGAGAGGAGGUGCAUGGCCGUCGCCAGUUUCGUGCCGUGAGGGUGUCCUGUUAAGUCAGGCAACGAUCGAGGACCCACACUCCCUGUUGCUACUGAGGAAAGUUUCCAAGGGGCACUCUGGGAGGACAGCCGUCGAUAAGACGGAGGAAGGAGUGGGCCACGGCAGGUCAGUAUGCCCCGAAUCCCCCGGGCCACACGCGUGCUGCAAUGGCCGGUACAAUGGGUUUUACCUCGAGAGAGGACGGUAAUCCCGAAAGCCGGUCGUAGUUUGAAUCGAGGGCUGCAACCCGCCCUCGUGAAACUGGAAUGCUAGU
rnacentral:rRNA from 1 species